rnacentral:rRNA from 1 species
UGGGGAAUAUUGGACAAUGGGCGCAAGCCUGAUCCAGCCAUGCCGCGUGAGUGAUGAAGGCCCUAGGGUUGUAAAGCUCUUUCAGCGAGGAGGAUAAUGACGUUACUCGCAGAAGAAGCCCCGGCUAACUUCGUGCCAGCAGCCGCGGUAAUACGAAGGGGGCUAGCGUUGUUCGGAAUCACUGGGCGUAAAGCGCACGUAGGCGGACUUUUAAGUCAGGGGUGAAAUCCCGGGGCUCAACCUCGGAACUGCCUUUGAUACUGGAAGUCUGGAGUCCGAGAGAGGUGAGUGGAACUCCGAGUGUAGAGGUGAAAUUCGUAGAUAUUCGGAAGAACACCAGUGGCGAAGGCGGCUCACUGGCUCGGUACUGACGCUGAGGUGCGAAAGCGUGGGGAGCAAACAGGAUUAGACACCCUGGUAGUCCACGCCGUAAACGAUGGAAGCUAGCCGUCAGGGUGCAUGCAUCUUGGUGGCGCAGUUAACGCAUUAAGCUUCCGCCUGGGGAGUACGGUCGCAAGAUUAAAACUCAAAUGAAUUGACGGGGUCAUAGCUGUUUCCU